rnacentral:rRNA from 1 species
AGAGUUUGAUCCUGGCUCAGAAUGAACGUUGGCGGCGUGCCUAACACAUGCAAGUCGAGCGUGAAAGUCCUUCGGGAUGAGUAAAGCGGCGGACGGGUGAGUAACGCGUGAGAAUUUACCUUUUAGUGGAGAAUACCUUUGAGAAAUCAAAGUUAAUACUGCAUACGUCUCGAAAGAGAGAAAGAUGGCCUAAUUGCUGUCGCUAGAAGAUAAGCUUGCGUUCUAUUAGUUAGUUGGUGAGGUAAUGGCUCACCAAGACGAUGAUGGAUAGCCGGCCUGAGAGGGCGAACGGCCACAUUGGAACUUAGACACGGUCCAAACUCCUACGGGAGGCAGCAGUGAGGAAUAUUGCACAAUGGGCGAAAGCCUGAUGCAGCGACGCCGCGUGGAGGAUGAAGG